GAAUCUUAGACAAUGGGCGCAAGCCUGAUCUAGCCAUGCCGCGUGAGUGAUGAAGGCCCUAGGGUCGUAAAGCUCUUUCGCCUGUGAAGAUAAUGACGGUAGCAGGUAAAGAAACCCCGGCUAACUCCGUGCCAGCAGCCGCGGUAAUACGGAGGGGGUUAGCGUUGUUCGGAAUUACUGGGCGUAAAGCGCGCGUAGGCGGAUCAGAAAGUUGGGGGUGAAAUCCCGGGGCUCAACCCCGGAACUGCCUCCAAAACUCCUGGUCUUGAGUUCGAGAGAGGUGAGUGGAAUUCCGAGUGUAGAGGUGAAAUUCGUAGAUAUUCGGAGGAACACCAGUGGCGAAGGCGGCUCACUGGCUCGAUACUGACGCUGAGGUGCGAAAGUGUGGGGAGCAAACAGG
rnacentral:rRNA from 1 species